CCCGAGUCAACUCGUCCCGCGUUGGGUUGAAACAGGCAAAAGGCGAGUGUCUCGGGCCUGGGAUCGCUCUGGUACGCGAAGAAAGGGUAUGGGUUGAUGGCAAAAGGCGAGCCAGUGUUUCUCUGGAACUCCAACAAGCCCCUCAUUGUGUCCGAAGUCGCCGGGUUGAAAGCGCCGGAGGAGGGCGGGUCAGACUGAGUCAACACGGCCAUGGAGUGCACGGUUGAGACCUUGAUUUUUCCUCCCAGUGACGCCGCGUUGAGGGCAUUCUGGACAUUUUGCAUCGCCGGCAAGAGCUGCGACAUCAGGUUCUGGUCGGUGGAGCUCAUGACCUCGUUGCCAACAGUGAUGAGGAUAAUCUUGCUUGCAGGGUAGUAGGCGAUGACGUUUGAGUUCACCCACUGAGCCGCGAAGUUCGGAUCGGAGGCUAGGGCGGGGAUGUCGCCGUUGGCGGCGCCGAUAACGAUCCCGAUACCAGUGUUGGCAAGAGCUUUGAUGAUUCCCGGAUCGGCGCCGUAUAAUCUGACCUUUUCAAUUGACGUGGAUUUGAGCAGCUUCGCGGUGGCCUCAGGCGGCGGUAGGUUGUUGGCGACUUGCCCAUAGUUGAUGCCGAUGAAAGACUGCGAAUCUGCAACAAACCCAAAUUUCUUUAACGAUGAGCACCAAAGUUAAUACAGCUCACUAACCAGUUCAGGAAGCUGAAAAACGGCGUCGUCAUGAACCAUCUUCAUUACCUUGACCACGCUGUUCCAGCUUCUCCCCCAUUAUAUACCCAAAAACCCAUUCAUGUACUCGAGUUCCACCACUCCACUGAAACCCAACUAAAAUUCCAUACACAAAAAGAGAGACAAAAAACAAAAACCCAAAAAUUAAUAAAGAAGCAAAACCAAAUGAUUUAAGCGAAAUUUUCCUAGAAAACAAACAAAAGGAAUUGGAGAAGGAGAAAAUUGAACUUACUGGCGAAGCGAAGAGAUGGGAAGAGAAGAGAGAAGAAGAAGAAGAAGAUGGAAGCGUGAGAGAGAGUAGGCAUGGGCGAAGCUUGGAGACGAGCGAAUGAGAAAGCAGGGACGAAUUGAGGGAGAAAAGAGGAGAGAGUGUAACGGCACAAAUUGUAAAAGCGGUUUCUAUAAGUGAGAAUUCAACUGUCCUGCCUUAGCCGGAUGAUCUUGCGGGGA
rnacentral:lncRNA from 1 species